CCUACGGGGGGCUGCAGUGAGGAAUAUUGGUCAAUGGGCGCGAGCCUGAACCAGCCAAGUCGCGUGAAGGAUGACGGUCCUAUGGAUUGUAAACUUCUUUUGUGCAGGAAUAAAGUGAGGAACGUGUUCCUUUUUGUAUGUACUGUACGAAUAAGCAUCGGCUAACUCCGUGCCAGCAGCCGCGGUAAUACGGAGGAUGCGAGCGUUAUUCGGAUUUAUUGGGGCGAAGGGGUGCGGAGGCGGGCGUAGUGAUAGUUUGCAGCUUAACUGUAAAAGUGCCAUUGAAACUGUUAGUCUUGAGUGCAAAUGAGGUAGGCGGAAUGUGUUGUGUAGCGGUGAAAUGCUUAGAUAUAACACAGAACUCCGAUUGCGAAGGCAGCUUACUGGGAUGCAACUGACGCUGAUGCACGAAAGCGUGGGUAUCAAACAGGAUUAGAUACCCGUGUAGUC
rnacentral:rRNA from 1 species